UCGUGCUAGAUGGGGAGGUAGCGGUGCCUUGUAACCCGCAAUCCGCUAUAGCGGGGUCGAUGUCUAACUGAGGACUAAUCUUGUGGAGUCUGCCCUAGGCAAGUGGUGUUGACGAUUGGGUCCCGCGCAACGCAAACUUAUGAACCCCGUCAGAUCCGGAAGGAAGCAGCGGUAAGUAAGACCUUGCGUGUGCCGUGGGUCAGCCUGAUCCGAGCAAACUACCUAGGUAACGUCCGGAAGAUUAGCUUCGAAGUUAGGUGCACGA
rnacentral:SRP_RNA from 1 species